AUGCACACAGACAUCACACAUUUCACACACCCCAUCACGCUUGCACACACGUGUGUCAUAUACACAUACCAGCCUGGCACACACUUUGGAGGACUUCACAGCCCUCUGCCCAGAAGCCCAUCCACACACCCCAGAUGGAGCAACUCCGCCCUGAGCCUGCCCUUCCAGUGCUACAGAUGGGGAGACCCAGGCCCAGNCCAGCCCAGCCCAGCCUCUGAGGAGCCCUCCCAGAGAGGCUGCACGGGCUUCAGGCCUGGUGGGAUCGAGGCUGAGCCUUCACUGAGGGGCCAGAGGCUAGGGGAGGCCAUGCGGGGAGGUCCAGGGGUGGGGGGCCUGGAGGGGCAGAAGCAGAAGAAGGCUGACUGCCAGCCACCGGCACGGCUCUCACCACCGGGGCCGGUGUCCUCGGCAUCACCCUCACCUCGCUCCGGGAGGAUGGGUGACGGGCAGCUCAGCUGGGCCACCUGGGGCGGGGAGGAGCCGGAGCGGCCAGCACCCCACCAGCGCCCCGCAACGGCAACUCUCUUUCAGCUCCANNNNNNNNNNNNNNNNNNNNNNNNNNNNNNNNNNNNNNNNNNNNNNNNNNNNNNNNNNNNNNNNNNNNNNNNNNNNNNNNNNNNNNNNNNNNNNNNNNNNNGGGGAGGAGCCGGAGCGGCCAGCACCCCGCCAGGGCCCGGCACAGGACACCCUCCUGCAGCGCCUGCAGCCGCCGCUCUGAGAGCUCCAGCCACCGGAAGGCCCAGGCAGCGUCUGCCUGCCCGGGGCAGGGCGGCUGGUCAAGGAAAACCACAUGCAGCCAGGGGAGCCCAGGCCACAUGCCAGGCCCCGUGCCCCGUGUGUGACAGGCAUUCCCUCCUGUCUCCUCACCGUGGCCCUGCCAGAGCGGUGUUAUCACCCUCAUCAGGGUGGAGGCUCAGAGAGGAAAAGGGACCUGCCUGCAGCUACCCAGCCAGCAAGAGGUAGUGGCAUGCCUCAUCCCUAAACCCAUCUCACCCCAAUUCGGCUGCCCCCCACUUGCCAUCCCCUGAGCCCUGUGGGCCCGCUCAGGUCUGUGACACCAGGCCCACCCCUGGGCACUGUCACAGCGAGGGCAACACGCUCCCCUCUCCAGGAUCCGGCCGGGCAUCCUCAGUCCUAAGCAACCCCCAGGGCCAGCCUGUGCCCACCGUUCCCUCUGACUGCAGUGUCGCCCUGAAAGGCAUUAAGCCUGUGUUUAACACACCCGCACCAGGCCCGCUUCUGGGGCCAGGAGAGCCCCAGGCUCCCUUUCACCCUGGCCCUUCACCCUCUACACUGACUGCGGGCCCGUGCUCUCCUUGUCCACCAUCUCAUCCUGCACGGCCCGGGUGUAGCUGCCAUCUCCACUGGGAUGUCCAGGCUAGGCGCCUCCCAGGGCCCCUCAGCUCCCAGGCUCUCCUUUAAACUGUAAUUGGCACCUCUGUGUGGCCACGAGCCCCCAGUCCCCAGCCCAGAGCCAGAGAGAGAACACUCAGAGAUGCCCCCUGGGAUGCGUGUGAAUGAGGGGGCCCUGACUCCUCGUGCCAGUUCCUUCCCUGGCACCCUGGGGGCCCAGCCACGGAGCCCGCACAUCCACAGCAGCCCUGGGCCCCGGCAAAGGAUACAGGCCAGGCCGGCGAGGAGGCCGCAGAAGAGCUGCAGGAAGGGUGGCUCGGAGCUGAGCAAUGGUGUCAGGGCGAGCAGCAGCCACGGCAGGAGCCAGGGUGGCAGGGCCCCCCGGGGCCGUCGAGGGCGAGAACCCUGCCCCGCCAGCAUGGCCAGGUGGACGGGCAUGUACCCGCAGCCCCCGGCUGCACUGGACACCCCGAGGCCUGCCAGCAGCACGGCCAGCAGCCCGGAGGCCAGCGCGAGCAGGCCGGAGGCGUGCAGGAACCGCAGCGUGCCCAGGUGGCGCUCCUGCUGCCAGCCCGAUGUGGGCAGGAGCAGCAGGCUGAGCAGCAGGCUGGGGAGGGCCGUGUGGCCCAGAGCAUGUGUGAGCAGCCGGUGUGCUGGGGGAGAGAAGGGGCUUAUGUGCCAGGUUAGGGGCUGUGUCCCCCGAGUCUGGCCCAGGUGUGCUGGGGCCGUCCACCAAGCCAGUCUCCCCUCCCGGGGAGCCAGAGCCUGCCCACGGCCAGCACUUUCACCCCUGGUCGAGGGGAUCAAGGGCUUCCAAACACUAUGGCUACCCUCCCCACUGCUACUUUAAAUAGAACAAGCCAGACCCAACCCUCAGUCUUCUUAGAGCACCCAGCCAUAGGAAAGUCACUUCAUUUCAGUGAGCAUCAUUUGAGCUCCUCCAAUUCUUGGGAAACAGGUGCCCAGCUCCCGCCAGUCCUCAAACCCCUAGCUCCUCCUCCCUAUUUUUGGGCUUAGCUAAAAGCCUUAGUUUAAGGGAAAGCCACCAGACAGGGGAGCCAUCUGAAAAGAAUUCCUACUCACAGGCUCCCACCCCUGUGCUGGCCCCUCUGCCUUCCCUCCUCGGCUGUGGUUGAGCUGGGCGCGCUCCUGGCCAAGGCAGACCUUCCCCGGGGCACUGGGUCCGACGCCUGCCUGACCGCUGCAGGACGCACGUGCUCCUGCCAACUGGUCUCAGGCCCUACAGCAAAUCUCCUGCCUCCAAGGCUCAUGUGGCCGGCCCUCACCCUGCCUAGGGUCCAGCAGCAGCUCUGGGGCCAGGACGAGGCUGGGGCCGGCCCCCAGCAGCCACAGGGUGCUCAUUAGCAGCAUCAGGACAGAGGAAGCCAGAGGCAGUGCCGGGGUCGGUAGGGCAGGGGGGCCUCUGGCAUGCAUAACUUGGCUGAAGGUGCUCAAAGGUGGCCGUGGGACUGUGUGCUAGGGGUAAAGGGAAACAGUGACAACAGUUAUUAGUGCAGCUUUUAUCUGACCUCCUUUCAGCUACCAGAGCAAUAGCACCAUUUUUCAGAAGUAGAAACCGAGGCUGGAGAGGCUGAUGCAGCAACUUGGCCACAUUAGAGCUCAGAGCCUAGCUCUGUGCUCAGCCACCACUGUCCCCUAUGUGUCAGAGCGAAGAGGCCAGGCCCCGAUGGGCCCUGAAAAGGUGCCCAGACUGGGGAGCACGGGGAGCAGGAAGUUGAACGGGGACGCCAGGCUCCCCAGUUUGGGGGGGAUUUGUGCAGCCCCACCAGGGCAAAUUGAAGGCCAUCUUCUGCCUCCCUAUUCCCUCUGGCUACAGACCAGCCACCUUCCUCCCGCUCCCCUCCACUGACUUAAGAGCUCCAGGUGGCCUCAGCUGCCCUUGACCGAGGGGGCGAGGCCAGCCAAAGGGCAGGCAGAUUAGAGAGCAGGUGGAGCUGGAGGGCUGGAGGAGGGGCAGCUGGAGUCCACACCGUGACACCGGACAGAGACAUCCCCCUCCUCGAGCCCUGAUCGCAGCCCCUCUGGCCCUACCCUCACUUCCACAGGAAGAUUCCAGGAUCCACUCCGCUUCUUCCUGUUGUCUCCUCCUUUCUGAGCAAGUUUAGAGCCUCUCCUUCCUCAUCUGUAAAUUGGGGAUUAAGAAAAUUUACUCCUUGUAGGAUAAGAAAAAGGAAUGGACUAGGCAGGCCCACAGCUCCUGCUGGAUAAAUGGCAGCCACCCUGGCCGUCCCCACCAAGGGAGAGGCCUCAACACGGAAGCAGUUGCUCCAGCCCAGCUGCCCUCAAUCGUGCCAAUCCCCUGCCCACGAAGCAAGGCUUUCUCUCCAGUGUUCUCCCUCCUCACAUCCAGCGUGUCUUCUAAGCCCCGCUGGAAUCCCCUCACUCUGGUACCCUAGCAUGUCUCAGGACUCCAACUGAGCCAAUGUCACAGGAGAAGAAAGGAAAUCCCAGCGAUAAGAGGGCUGCCUCAUCUGCUCCCUUGUCAGGGGCAUCCUUGGCAUCAAAACCCACCUGCCACUCUCUUGCAGAAAAAAAAAAAGAAAACUGCUCCGCCUGCAAUGUCUUUCGCUCCAUCUCUCCAACAGCAAACUCCUACUCAUCCUUUGAAGCCCAGCUCAAAGCACCCCUCGCCCCCAUCAUUAUGGAGCCUACCCUAUCUAAUGAGUAGCGCUUGGCCAGUUUUCUAGGCAGGUGGUCUGAGCUGGGGGAGGAGGGAUCCUCCUCUCACUCACGGCCAAGUUCUCAGGGUGCUCCUAGCACACAGCUCGUGCUUUGUAUGUGUUCGUUGAAAAGAAAGACACUAGCUUUGUUCCAGGUCCCGCUCAAGGAUUUGAAUGAGCCCUGCCCUUUGCUGGACCUGGGCAUCUGGCUGGGGAGAUCGGGUUGAGUCCAAGAAGUCAGGCUGGUGUCAGCCUUGCGGCACUGCUAUCCUCCUGCACCCUCACCAUCACCCCCCUCCCCCCGGGGUACUUUAACAAGAGUAAGAGGCUUGCCCUUGGACAAACUGAACUGGGACCUGAAUGCUGCAGAGCUCAAUCUCUUUAUCUAUAAAAUGGAGCUGUGCACCCUCAGACCCCGCCUACCUCUCCAGGAAACCGGAAGGACAGAAUGGAAAGAUAGGGACCGGAAUGAUUCUUCCGGGUCAUGGACAGUUGGGCGGGGGUCCCGGGUGUGGGUGAGACUCAGCUUUGUGACUUUAGGAGAUGUACCCAAAUUCCUUGGGCCUCAGUUUCCCCUUCUGUAAAAACAAAGUGUUGGAUGAGGGCUGAUUAAAAGAGUCUUCGCAACCUCGACCGUUACUCGGGGCGGAGGGGGGGCGGGCCUCUCGGCCUGGGCGCUACGUUCAGGGCCUCCCAUCCACAGCCCACCGGUCUCGGCUCCCUCCCCCGCGGGCCCGGCCACGUGCCCGGGGGAAUCACUGCGGACCGCGCCCCCCCCCCCCCCUAGCCCCGCUCGG
ensembl:lincRNA